UAAUCUGCCCUUAGAUCUGGGAUAACUUCGGGAAACUGAGGGUAAACCCGGAUAUGGGAAAAAUACUGCAAUGUAUUUUCCUUUAAAGGCAACGUCUAAGGAUGAGUCGGCGGCCGAUUAGGUAGUUGGCGAGGUAAAUGCUCACCAAGCCAGAGAUCGGUAAGGGCCUUGAAAGAGGUAACCCUGAGAAGGGCACUGAGAUACUGGCCCUAGCCCUACGGGGUGCAGCAGGCGCGGAAUCUUUACAAUGCACGUAAGUGUGAUAAGGGAACCCCAAGUGCUAAUGUUUCACAUUGGCUUUUGCCAAGAGCAAAUAUCUUGGCGAAUAAGGAGUGGGCAAGACUGGUGCCAGCCGCCGCGGUAACACCAGCGCUUCAAGUUGCAAUCGCGUAUUUGGUCUAAAGCGUCCGUAGCUGGUCGUGUAAAUCUUUUGUGAAAUUGUUGGGCUUAACCUAACGAAUUGCAGGAGAGACUGCACAACUUGGGACCAGGAGGGGUUUGGAGUAUUCUUGGGGGAGCGGUAAGAUGCUAUAAUCCCAAGAGGACUACCUGUGGCGAAGGCGCCAAACCAGAAUGGAUCCGACGGUGAGGGACGAAAGCGAGGGGAGCAAACCGGA
rnacentral:rRNA from 1 species